GACGAACGCUGGCGGCGUGCUUAACACAUGCAAGUCGAACGGAAAGGCCCUGCUUUUGUGGGGUGCUCGAGUGGCGAACGGGUGAGUAACACGUGAGUAACCUGCCCUUGACUUUGGGAUAACUUCAGGAAACUGGGGCUAAUACCGGAUAGGAGCUCCUGCUGCAUGGUGGGGGUUGGAAAGUUUCGGCGGUUGGGGAUGGACUCGCGGCUUAUCAGCUUGUUGGUGGGGUAGUGGCUUACCAAGGCUUUGACGGGUAGCCGGCCCGAGAGGGUGACCGGCCACAUUGGGACUGAGAUACGGCCCAGACUCCUACGGGAGGCAGCAGUGGGGAAUAUUGCACAAUGGGCGGAAGCCUGAUGCAGCAACGCCGCGUGCGGGAUGACGGCCUUCGGGUUGUAAACCGCUUUCGCCUGUGACGAAGCGUGAGUAACGGUAAUGGGUAAAGAAGCACCGGCUAACUACGUG
rnacentral:rRNA from 1 species